GUGUCAGCCGCCGCGGUAAGACAGAGGGUGCAAACGUUGCUCGGAAUUACUGGGCGUAAAGCGCGUGUAGGCGGACUGGUGUGUCGGAUGUGAAAUCCCCAGGCUCAACCUGGGAACUGCAUUCGAAACUGCCAGCCUUGAGUGGUGGAGAGGGAAGUGGAAUUCCUGGUGUAGAGGUGAAAUUCGUAGAUAUCAGGAGGAACACCAGUGGCGAAGGCGGCUUCCUGGACACCAACUGACGCUGAGACGCGAAAGCGUGGGGAGCAAACAGGAUUAGAUACCCGGGUAGUCC
rnacentral:rRNA from 1 species